rnacentral:rRNA from 1 species
GAUGAACGCUGGCGGCGUGCCUAAUACAUGCAAGUCGAGCGAACGGACGAGAAGCUUGCUUUUCUGAUGUUAGCGGCGGACGGGUGAGUAACACGUGGAUAACCUACCUAUAAGACUGGGAUAACUUCGGGAAACCGGAGCUAAUACCGGAUAAUAUUUUGAACCGAAUGGUUCAAAAGUGAAAGACGGUCUUGCUGUCACUUAUAGAUGGAUCCGCGCUGCCUUAGCUAGUUGGUAAGGUAACGGCUUACCAAGGCAACGAUGCAUAGCCGACCUGAGAGGGUGAUCGGCCACACUGGAUCUGAGACACGGUCCAGACUCCUGCGGGAGGCAGCAGUAGGGAAUCUUACGCAAUGGGCGAGAGCCUGACGGAGCAACGCCGCGUGAGUGAUGAAGGUCUUCGGAUCGUAAAACUCUGUUAUUAGGGAAAAACAUAUGUGUAAGUAGCUGUGCACAUCGUGACGGUACCUAAUCAGAAAGCCACGGCUAACUACGUG